UGGGGAAUUUUGGACAAUGGGCGAAAGCCUGAUCCAGCAAUGCCGCGUGUGUGAAGAAGGCCUUCGGGUUGUAAAGCACUUUUGUCCGGAAAGAAAUCCUUGGCUCUAAUACAGUCGGGGGAUGACGGUACCGGAAGAAUAAGCACCGGCUAACUACGUGCCAGCAGCCGCGGUAAUACGUAGGGUGCAAGCGUUAAUCGGAAUUACUGGGCGUAAAGCGUGCGCAGGCGGUUUGCUAAGACCGAUGUGAAAUCCCCGGGCUCAACCUGGGAACUGCAUUGGUGACUGGCAGGCUAGAGUAUGGCAGAGGGGGGUAGAAUUCCACGUGUAGCAGUGAAAUGCGUAGAGAUGUGGAGGAAUACCGAUGGCGAAGGCAGCCCCCUGGGCCAAUACUGACGCUCAUGCACGAAAGCGUGGGGAGCAAACAGGAUUAGAUACCCUGGUAGUCCACGCCCUAAACGAUGUCAACUAGUUGUUGGGGAUUCAUUUCCUUAGUAACGUAGCUAACGCGUGAAGUUGACCGCCUGGGGAGUACGGUCGCAAGAUUAAAACUUAAAGGAAUUGACGGGGUCAUAGC
rnacentral:rRNA from 1 species